rnacentral:rRNA from 1 species
CGAAAGCCUGACGGAGCCAGACCGCGUGGGGGAGGAAGGCCCUUGGGUUGUAAACCCCUUUUCUCAGGGAAGAAGUUCUGACGGUACCUGAGGAAUCAGCCUCGGCUAACUCCGUGCCAGCAGCCGCGGUAAUACGGAGGAGGCAAGCGUUAUUCGGAAUUAUUGGGCGUAAAGCGUCCGCAGGGGGCGCAUCAAGUCUGCUGUUAAAGGCUGGAGCUCAACUCCGGUAGAGCAGUGGAAACUGGUGCGCUAGAGGGCGACAGGGGUAGAGGGAAUUCCCAGUGUAGCGGUGAAAUGCGUAGAGAUUGGGAAGAACACCGGUGGCGAAAGCGCUCUACUGGGUCGCACCUGACCCUCAGGGACGAAAGCUAAGGGAGCG